rnacentral:rRNA from 1 species
AUGAACGCUGGCGGCGUGCCUAAUACAUGCCAGUCGAGCGAACAGACGAGGAGCUUGCUCCUCUGACGUUAGCGGCGGACGGGGGAGUAACACGUGGAUAACCUACCUAUAAGACUGGGAUAACUUCGGGAAACCGGAGCUAAUACCGGAUAAUAUAUUGAACCGCAUGGUUCAAUAGUGAAAGACGGUUUUGCUGUCACUUAUAGAUGGAUCCGCGCCGCAUUAGCUAGUUGGUAAGGUAACGGCUUACCAAGGCGACGAUGCGUAGCCGACCUGAGAGGGUGAUCGGCCACACUGGAACUGAGACACGGUCCAGACUCCUACGGGAGGCAGCAGUAGGGAAUCUUCCGCAAUGGGCGAAAGCCUGACGGAGCAACGCCGCGUGAGUGAUGAAGGUCUUCGGAUCGUAAAACUCUGUUAUUAGGGAAGAACAAAUGUGUAAGUAACUAUGCACGUCUUGACGGUACCUAAUCAGAAAGCCACGGCUAACUACGUG